CAGUAGCCACGGUAAUACGAAGGGGGCUAGCGUUGUUCGGAUUUACUGGGCGUAAAGGGCGCGUAGGCGGACUGAUAAGUCAGGGGUGAAAUCCCAAGGCUCAACCUUGGAACUGCCUUUGAUACUGUUUGUCUUGAGUUCGAGAGAGGUAAGUGGAACUGCGAGUGUAGAGGUGAAAUUCGUAGAUAUUCGCAAGAACACCAGUGGCGAAGGCGGCUUACUGGCUCGAAACUGACGCUGAGGCGCGAAAGCGUGGGGAGCAAACAGGAUUAGAUACCCCUGUAGUCCCUGUCUCUUAUAC
rnacentral:rRNA from 1 species